ACUGAACUGCGGCGGCUUCGCUGGGGUGGCUGGCAUCGCCGCGAACCGGGGUUCCAGGAGCCGCCGGGGCGGCCGCAGGUAACCUUCCACAGGCCCACACAUGUGUUAUCAGCCAUACCUUAGGACAGAAGGAAUGAGUUUGCAGAAAGGAUGCUCUUCAGAACUCAUGAAGACAUAAGGUGCUUCAAAAGAGGAGACUUUCGGAACAUGAGCAGGGAAAUUGUCACUUGAUAGAUGACAAGCAUUGUGAGAAACAACAGUUUGCCUUUCUUCAUUCCCUUCCUGGUUAUCUUUCCUGUCACAUGAAGAAGAAAUGAAACACCAGAGAGAAUCAGGUUAUCAUCAUCUACACCAGCCACUGUCACUGGCCUUCAAAGUUCAACCUCCCUGGAACUCCAGAACUCCCCACUUUAUAAGAUGAAUGGCUAAUUGGAUCCUAGUACAUAAGGAAACACUGGCAAAAUAGCGCCCUACAACCAUACUGAGAAUUUAGCCCUGGGGACAUCUUCCGAUAUAAUCUGGCAUAGAAGAGUGGUUAUCACACCUUUAGCAUGGAUAGAAAUGCAAAACAAUAUUUGUAAUAGUCUGUGCUCACGCUGCUAUAAGGACAUACCCAAGACUAGGUUCCUAUAAAGUUCCUGAUAGUUGAAGAAAGUCAGGAGAUCUUAGAAACUGACUUUCAUUUAUAACCUGCUGAUUCACCUAGAUCAGGUUACUGGGAAGAAAUCCAAGUCAGACCUCCUGACCUACUCGAAACAGCAUGAGGAAUUUUGGAAAUACAUCUGGUGCUUCCAGUGACUGUAUAAUAAUCAAUGUAUCCUGACUCUAAAGAAAAGCAGAAGUGAAACUGAAAGUACAGACUACAAGGUGGAAUAUGAUCCCUCUACUAUCAACUAAAAGUCUUAGACUUGCUACCCUUCUGAAAAUGGUUCUGAAGGGGCCCAGGAAGAAACCUCCUCUUCCCCAGCUGAGUUGAGAACCAAGUGGAAGACAAAGAAGUUAGACAGCAGAUGAAAAAGUGACCUGCCUUGCACCUUGCCAGUUGGCUUGCUAGCUCUCCCCUGAUUUGAACUUCUGACAACAGAACAUGCUCCACCAAACUUACCAUGUGAAGGACAGCACAUGGGCAUUCUUUCUGAGACCUGCAAAGAAAACAAAGGGAGAGGCUAAGCAGACAAAGGAAAACUCUUUCUUCUCAAAUCAAUCAGAUAAUGAACUCCUGUUCCCUUUAGGAGAAAUGAGUGGGUGGGGAGAGAAAAGCAAGCAGUUGACCUCUGGAGGUCCUUAGACUUAAAAACAUAAAGCCCAAGGAAGAAAAUUCCUCCCCAGCAUUAACUUGGACCAGUAAUGUUUUUCUAUUUAUAUUCCAUAUGUAAAUAUGCCUGUGAGGUAUUAUGUAUUGUCUUUGUGCCUUUAAGUGCAUUUCUUUAAAAAAUCUGUAACUUUAAACUUAAAUAGAAAGGCACAAAAUGGAUUGUUAUUUUAUACAAUGGAGUUCUGAUAUUAAUUAUUGUUACUUCUCACAAAACAAGUACUAAAGAUUUCUUAGUUUUGGCUAAAAUAGUAUUGUGAAUUGUGGCUGAGUGGUGUGCUCUUUUUGAAUUUCCCAAUUUUAGCUCAUUCACUUCUCUAUAUGGCCCUCUAUUCCUUUAAAAAAAUUUUAAUAGCUUAAUUAAGAUAUGAUUUAUAUACAAUUCACUAAAGUGUAC
ensembl:lncRNA novel transcript